rnacentral:rRNA from 1 species
CCCGCUGAACUUAAGCAUAUCAAUAAGCGGAGGAAAAGAAACUAACAAGGAUUCCCCUAGUAACGGCGAGUGAAGCGGGAAGAGCUCAAAUUUAAAAUCUGGCAGUCUUUGGGUGCCCGAAGUGUAAUCUAGAGAAGCGUUUUCCGUGCUGGACUGUGUACAAGUUUCCUGGAUACAGGGACAUCAUAGAGGGUGAGAAUCCCGUCCUUGACACAGACCCCCAGUACUUUUGUGAUGCGCUCUCGACGAGUCGAGUUGUUUGGGAUUGCAGCUCAAAAUGGGAGGUAAAUUCCUUCUAAAGCUAAAUAUUGGCGAGAGACCGAUAGCGAACAAGGACCGUGAGGGAAAGAUGAAAAGCCCUUUGGAAAGAGAGUUAAACCGUUCGUGAAAUUGUUAAAAGGGAAACGCUUGAAGUCAGUCACGUUUGCUGGGACUCAGCCUUACUUUGGUGUGGUGCAUUUCCUUGCAGUCGGGCCAGCGUCCAUGUUGUUUGCCGGAGAAGGGGAGAGAGAAUGUGGCUCCUUUGUGAGUGUUAUAGCUCUAGCUCGUAUGCGGGGACUGAUACGGAGUGGUCCAGCACACUUUGGUGGUGCUUGUGCUGGCAUAAUGGCUGUCAGCGACCCGUCUUGAAACACGG